rnacentral:piRNA from 1 species
CUAUUCCUUCAUGUAGGACGAGG